rnacentral:ncRNA from 1 species
AUUGCCUUAGUAACGGCGAGUGAAGCGGCAACAGCUCAAAUUUGAAAUCUGGUCCCCCCGGGGCCCGAGUUGUAAUUUGCAGAGGGUGCUUCGGCGUCGGCUCCGGUCCAAGUUCCUUGGAACAGGACGUCACAGAGGGUGAGAACCCCGUACGUGGCCGGAAGUCUUCGCCGUGUGAAGCCCCUUCGACGAGUCGAGUUGUUUGGGAAUGCAGCUCUAAAUGGGAGGUAAAUUUCUUCUAAAGCUAAAUACCGGCCAGAGACCGAUAGCGCACAAGUAGAGUGAUCGAAAGAUGAAAAGCACUUUGGAAAGAGAGUUAAAAAGCACGUGAAAUUGUUAAAAGGGAAGCAGUUGCAGCCAGACUUGGCCGCGGGCGUUCAACCGUGCUUCUGCACGGUGUACUCGACCGCGGUCAGGCCAGCAUCAGUUCGGGCGGCCGGAUAAAGGUCCUGGGAAUGUGGCUCCCCUCGGGGAGUGUUAUAGCCCGGGGCGUAAUACGGCCAGCCUGGACUGAGGUCCGCGCUUCGGCUAGGAUGCUGGCAUAAUGGCUGUAACUGGCCCGUCUUGAAACACGGACCAAGGAGUCUAACAUCUAUGCGAGUGUUUGGGUGUCAAACCCAUACGCGUAAUGAAAGUGAACGGAGGUGAGAGCCGCAAGGCGCAUCAUCGACCGAUCCUGAUGUCUUCGGAUGGAUUUGAGUAUGAGCAUAGCUGUUGGGACCCGAAAGAUGGUGAACUAUGCCUGAAUAGGGUGAAGCCAGAGGAAACUCUGGUGGAGGCUCGCAGCGGUUCUGACGUGCAAAUCGAUCGUCAAAUUUGGGUAUAGGGGCGAAAGACUAAUCGAACCAUUGACCUACUAGGUGGUUAACAGGCGGCUAAAAGUGCCCGCCUAGUCCCUUCACUCGGGGCGACGCUAUCAAAUUGCGGGGACAUCCUUAGAGCUCAGGCUACCGCGGCCCGCCGAAAGGCAGGGUGCAGCACCGGGGUAACGACCCAGGGGAAGGUAAAAACGCCUGAGAUUGGACAAUCCGCAGCCAAGUCCUAACCGCCCUCGGGGCGCACGGAUGCAGUUCACAGACUAGAUGGUAGCGGGUCGCCCUUAACGGGCGGCUUAAGAUAUAGUCGACUCCCCGCGGAGACGCGGGCGACGGGACAAAGCUCGAAGGAUGGGUGAGCGGCGAGCGGCCGCGCCUGAGAGCCCGAACCCCGUCGGGAAGGCAUAGAGAUGUAUCUUCCCCUCC